GCCGCUGGUGUGACUGCUUUGCUUUUUUCCAAAGGUACGCCACAUUUGAAUGAGACUGAGCCGUUGAUUUCUUCAAGGCAAUAAUGUCAACAGUUUCCUUUGAUCUUGUUACUCAGGAUGGUGAGUUGCUGGCCGGUUUACAAGGCAACAACAUGUUCACACUUCAUUAAUCGAUUUACAUAUUGGAGUGGGCUUUCUUGUGUCAUACUAUGUGAUUGCUUCUCUUCUAUGUUUAUGGAUUUUUUAUACAUUUCUAUUAUUCUGUCAUCUGAAUGGACUAUUCUAUAUAUUGUAAAAAUAUGUGACUCAUUUG
rnacentral:lncRNA from 1 species